rnacentral:rRNA from 1 species
CACGCUGUAAACGAUGUGCACUAGGUGUGGGAGGUGUUAAACUUUCCGUGCCGUAGCUAACGCGAUAAGUGCACCGCCUGGGGAGUAUGCCCGCAAGGGUGAAACUCAAAGGAAUUGACGGGGGCCCGCACAAGCGGUGGAGUAUGUGGUUUAAUUCGAUGGUACACGAGAAACCUUACCAGGGUUUGACAUGUGCAUGAAAGUUCAAGAGAUUGAGAUGUCCUGUAUAAGGACAUGCACACAGGUGCUGCAUGGCUGUCGUCAGCUCGUGUCGUGAGAUGUUGGGUUAAGUCCCGCAACGAGCGCAACCCUCGCUGUCUGUUGCCAACAGGUUAUGCUGGGAACUCAGACGGAACUGCCGAUGACAAACCG